UAACAAGGAUUCCCUCAGUAACGGCGAGUGAAGCGGGAAGAGCUCAAAUUUAAAAUCUGGUUUGCUUGCAAGCCCGAGUUGUAGUCUGAAGAAACGUUUUCCAUAAGCACUGAGGCAAAAGUCCCUUGGAACAGGGCAUCAUAGAGGGUGAGAAUCCCGUCCAUGGCCUCAAGUUGUUUAUUUUGUGAUACGUUUUCAAAGAGUCAGGUUGUUUGGGAAUGCAGCCUAAAAUGGGUGGUAAAUUUCAUCUAAAGCUAAAUAUUGGCGAGAGACCGAUAGCGAACAAGUACCGUGAGGGAAAGAUGAAAAGAACUUUGAAAAGAGAGUUAAACAGUACGUGAAAUUGUUGAAAGGGAACCGUUUGAAGCCAGUCUUACUUGCCUGUGAUCAAUUUUUGUUUCGACAUGAAUGCACUCUCGGGUAUGGUAGGCCAACGACAGUUUGAAAUGCGAGAAAAAAAUAAGGGAAAUGUGGCCUUCGGGUGUUAUAGUCCCUUAUAAAAUAUCGUGUUCUGGACUGAGGAUCGCAGCAAAAAUGUGGGCAGGUGGAUUUCUGUGGUAACUGUCGGUUA
rnacentral:rRNA from 1 species